AUUGAACGCUGGCGGCAGGCUUAACACAUGCAAGUCGAGCGAGCGGCGGACGGGUGAGUAAUGUCUGGGAAACUGCCUGAUGGAGGGGGAUCACUACUGGAAACGGUAUCUAAUACCGCAUACCAUCAGAUGUGCCCAGAUGGGAUGAGCGAGUAGGUGGGGUAAUGGCUCCCCUAGGCGACGAUCCCUAGCUGGUCUGAGAGGAUGACCAGCCACACUGGAACUGAGCAACGGUCCAGACGCCUACGGGAGGCAGCAGUGGGGAAUAUUGGACAAUGGGCGAAAGCCGGAUGCAGCCAUGCCGAGUGUGUGAAGAAGGCCUUCGGGUUGUAAAGUACGUUCAGCGAGGAGGCGUUACUCGCAGAAGAAGCACCGGCUAACUCCGUGCCAGCAGCCGCGGUAAUUC
rnacentral:rRNA from 1 species